UUUGUGAAAGCCCCGUGCUCAACGCGGGGAGGCCAAGCGAUACUGCGUGACAUUGAGGGCUGAAGAGGGGAUUGGAAUUCCCGGUGUAGCGGUAAAAUGCUCAUAUAUCGGGAGGAACACCAGUGGCGAAGGCGGCUCCCUGGACCGCACCUGACGCUCAGAGGCGAAAGCUAGGGGAGCGAACAGGAUUAGAGACCCUGGUAGUCCUAGCCCUAAACGCUGGAUGCUAGGUGUAGGGCUGAUGAGGCUCUGUGCCGGAGCGAACGCGAUAAGCAUCCCGCCUGGGAACUACGGCCGCAAGGCUUAAACUCAAACGAAUUGACGGGGACCCGCACAAGCAGCGGAGCGUGUGGUUUAAUUCGAUGCUACACGAAGAACCUUACAUGGGUUUGACAUGUUGGUGGUACCGAACCGAAAGGGGAGGGACCCUUAGGGGAGCCAACACAGGUGCUGCAUGGCUGUUGUCAGCUCGUGCCGUGAGGUGUCGGGUUAAGUCCCGUAACGAGCGCAACCCUUGCUCUUAGUUAUAUGUGUCUAAGGGGACUGCUCGGUGACAAGCGCGGAGGAAGGGUGGGGAUGACGUCAAGUCAGCAUGGACCUUGAUAUGCCAGGGCUACACACACGCUACAAUGGUCCGGUACAAAGGACAGCCAAACCGCGAGGUGGAGCGAAUCCCAGCAAGGCUCGGUCCCAGUUCGGAUUGCAGGCUGCAACCCGCCUGCAUGAAGUUGGAGUUGCUAGUUAACCGCGCGUCAGCCAUAGUGCGGUGAAUAUGUACCCGGCUCGUUGUACACACCGCCCGUCACGUCAUGGGCGUUGGCAACGCCUGACAGCGGUA
rnacentral:rRNA from 1 species